CUCAAUUGGUAGCACUGGUUAGACACAUACUCUGCUUGUUGGCACAAUACUUAGCACUGCUUAUUAGAGACUAAGUGCAGGAUGAUAAUCAAAAUCUACAAGAUUGAGUUAUCCUGACUAUCCAGCUAUUACUGAGCUAUGUGGGGGAUGUGCUGUAGGGAUCAGAAGAGACAUCAUGAUCCAGCUACAGACUUCAGAUCACUUUACAGGCAUUGCCGAGUUAACCCUCACGCUCCCCCGGAGGGGUAGACACUCCGCUCAUGGGGAAACCAAGAGGCCCGCUGGACUGAUAUUGCUCCAUGACUGAACAGGAGACGUUCAGCAUGUCGUGAAGCAAGAUCUCUUUGCCUAAUGGACGGAGCACCCAGCUCUGGCAAUGCCCUUUGAAAAUGGACACCACUGUUCCUUCAGAGUCUGUCUGCCACUGUUACUGUCAAAUCAAACACACA